UACGAAGGGGGCUAGCGUUGCUCUGAAUCGCUGGGCGUAAAGGGUGCGUAGGCGGGUCUUUAAGUCAGGGGUGAAAUCCUGGAGCUCAACUCCAGAACUGCCUUUGAUACUGAAGAUCUUGAGUUCGGGAGAGGUGAGUGGAACUGCGAGUGUAGAGGUGAAAUUCGUAGAUAUUCGCAAGAACACCAGUGGCGAAGGCGGCUCACUGGCCCGAUACUGACGCUGAGGCACGAAAGCGUGGGGAGCAAACAGG
rnacentral:rRNA from 1 species